rnacentral:rRNA from 1 species
AGCGGCGAGCGAAGCGGGAAGAGCUCAAAUUUGUAAUCUGGCGUCCUCCGGGCGUCCGAGUUGUAAUCUAUAGAGACGUUUUCCGUGCCGGACCGUGUCCAAGUCCCUUGGAACAGGGUAUCAAAGAGGGUGACAAUCCCGUACUUGACACGACGACCGGUGCUCUGUGAUACGUUUUCUACGAGUCGAGUUGUUUGGGAAUGCAGCUCAAAAUGGGUGGUAAAUUUCAUCUAAAGCUAAAUAUAGGCGAGAGACCGAUAGCGAACAAGUACCGUGAGGGAAAGAUGAAAAGCACUUUGGAAAGAGAGUUAAACAGUAUGUGAAAUUGUUGAAAGGGAAACGAUUGAAGUCAGUCAUGUCCAUUGGAUUCAGCUGGUUCUGCCAGUGUAUUUCCUUUGGACGGGUCAACAUCAGUUUGAGCCGACGGAUAAUGGCAGAGGGAAUGUGGCACCCCCGGGUGUGUUAUAGCCCUUUGUCGCAUACGUCGGCCCAGACUGAGGAAUGCAGCUCGCCUUUAUGGCCGGGGUUCGCCCACGUACGAGCUUAGGAUGUUGGCAUAAUGGCUUUAAACGACCCGUCUU